GACGAAGGGGGCUAGCGUUGUUCGGAAUUAUCGUGGCGUAAAGCGAGUGUAGGUGGUUGUCCAAGUUGGAUGUGAAAGCCUUGAGCUCAACUCAAGAAAUGCAUUCAGGACUGGGCGGCUAGAGGACCGGAGAGGAUAGUGGAAUUCCCAGUGUAGUGGUGAAAUACGUAGAGAUUGGGAAGAACACCAGUGGCGAAGGCGGCUCUCUGGGACGGUACUGACGCUGAGGCGCGAAAGCGUGGGGAGCAAACAGGG
rnacentral:rRNA from 1 species